AGCGAACGCUGGCGGCAGGCCUAACACAUGCAAGUCGAACGAACCUUUCGGGGUUAGUGGCGGACGGGUGAGUAACACGUGGGAACGUGCCUUUAGGUUCGGAAUAACUCAGGGAAAAUUGUGCUAAUACCGAAUGUGCCCUUCGGGGGAAAGAUUAAUCGCCUUUAGAGCGGCCCGCGUCUGAUUAGCUAGUUGGUUGAGGUAAUGGCUCACCAAGGCGACGAUCAGUAGCUGGUCUGAGAGGAUGAUCAGCCACAUUGGGACUGAGACACGGCCCAAACUCCUACGGGAGGCAGCAGUGGGGAAUCUUGCGCAAUGGGCGAAAGCCUGACGCAGCCAUGCCGCGUGAAUGAUGAAGGUCUUAGGAUUGUAAAAUUCUUUCACCGGGGACGAUAAUGACGGUACCCGGAGAAGAAGCCCCGGCUAACUUCGUG
rnacentral:rRNA from 1 species